GCAAAGACAGCCAGGAGGUUUGCCUAGAAGCAGCCACCCUUUAAAGAGUGCGUAAUAGCUCACUGAUCGAGCGCCCUUGCGCUGAAGAUGAACGGGGCUAAGCGAUCUGCCGAAGCUGUGGGAUGUCAAAAUGCAUCGUUAGGGGAGCGUUCCGCCUUAGAGGGAAGCAACCGCGAAAGCGGGGGUCGACGAAGCGGAAGCGAGAAU
rnacentral:ncRNA from 1 species